AGAGAAGAGAGGCCCUGAGAAAGACUGGAGGGGCUGAGGGCAGAGAGACACAGGCGCAGGAGGUGCAGAGCGUUCUUGACGGAAAGAGAGAGAGCUGCAGACAGAGAGAAGGCAUAGCUAGGAGUGGGAAUGGGUGUCAGUGAGGUAGGGGCAGAGCGCAGGGGCGGGGUAAAGGGGGGACUGCUCCCAGUCCCUGCACACACCCACUUUUAUCACAGGAUGGGUCGUCCAAGUCAAAGGCACAGGGGGGAUUGUCCAAAGGUGGGGAAUCUGAGCCUGGGAUGGGGUAGGGACUUGGGGGAGGCUGGCACAAAGAAACGGCCCGGGGGCACCUCACAGCUGACCGGGCCGGGAGGGCAAAGAGCUGCGAGAAGCCAGAGCCCCGGGCUGAGGUGGGAGGGCGCCCGCCGCGGAAGGACUGGGACAUGGGCAGGCAGGGAGCGAAGCGAGGCCUGGGCCAGAGGGGAGGGAAAGGCAGGGGUGACUCUCCCAGUGACGGCUUCUCCCGAAGCUCCUGCCUGGACUAACGGGCCCGGGCGCUGGUCCCAUCCGGAGCUGCGGCGGCCCCGCCCGUGUCCC
ensembl:antisense Gm12473 predicted gene 12473